GAUGAACGCUGGCGGCGUGCCUAAUACAUGCAAGUCGAGCGAACAGACGAGGAGCUUGCUCCUCUGACGUUAGCGGCGGACGGGUGAGUAACACGUGGAUAACCUACCUAUAAGACUGGGAUAACUUCGGGAAACCGGAGCUAAUACCGGAUAAUAUAUUGAACCGCAUGGUUCAAUAGUGAAAGACGGUUUUGCUGUCACUUAUAGAUGGAUCCGCGCCGCAUUAGCUAGUUGGUAAGGUAACGGCUUACCAAGGCAACGAUGCGUAGCCGACCUGAGAGGGUGGUCGGCCACACGGGAACUGAGACACGGUCCAGACUCCUGCGGGAGGCAGCAGUAGGGAAUCUUACGCAAUGGGCGAAAGCCUGACGGAGCAACGCCGCGUGAGUGAUGAAGGUCUUCGGAUCGUAAAACUCUGUUAUUAGGGAAGAACAAAUGUGUAAGUAACUAUGCACGUCUUGACGGUACCUAAUCAGAAAGCCACGGCUAACUACGUG
rnacentral:rRNA from 1 species